rnacentral:tRNA from 1 species
AAAAAGAUAAGCUAAUCUAAGCUGAAGGGUUCAUACCCCUUUUAUGGUAUUUCCUCUUUUUA